GUGCUUGCUUUGGCAGCACAUAUACUGAAACUGGAAUGAUAAAGAGAAGAUUGGCAUGGCCCCUGCACAAAGACGAUAUGCAAAUCCAUGAAGCGUUCCAUUAAAAA